rnacentral:rRNA from 1 species
UACAGAGGUCUCAAGCGUUGUUCGGAUUCAUUGGGCGUAAAAGGGUGCGUAGGCGGCGCGGUAAGUCGGGUGUGAAAUCUCGGAGCUUAACUCCGAAACUGCAUUUCGAUACUGCCGUGCUUGAGGGACUGGAGAGGAGACUGGGAAUUCAUGGUGUAGCAGUGAAAUGCGUAGAGAUCAUGAGGGAAGACCAGUGGCGAAGGCGGGUCUCUGGACAGUUCCUGACACUGAGACACGAAGGCCAGGGGAGCAAACGGG